rnacentral:rRNA from 1 species
AUGCUGAGCUCAACCCCAUGCACCACGCCCAUCACGCAGCAAGUAGCUAGCCGCCCCGCUGCCGUCCUCUUCUUAUCCCCAGCCCUCCCGCGCCGAGCCGUGGCCACAAACGGCGGCUGGACCACCCACACGUCGGCGUCGGCCACGCCGUGUCACUCCACUCCUCGCGUCGCCAUUGGCCCAGGUCACCAGAGAAAGAGCACUGGCAAGAGCCAGCUAUAUCCGCUUCGGAUCGGGGCCCUGGAAACCUGUGGAGCAGAAGCUCCGGCCAUGGCCAUCCCAUUCUCCUAUUUAGCCGCGAUCUCCCCCGCAUCCUGUCACUACCAGUGA